rnacentral:rRNA from 1 species
UGGGGAAUAUUGCGCAAUGGGCGCAAGCCUGAUGCAGCAACGCCGCGUGCGGGAUGACGGCCUUCGGGUUGUAAACCGCUUUCAGUUCCGACGAAGCGCAAGUGACGGUAGGAACAGAAGAAGGACCGGCCAACUACGUGCCAGCAGCCGCGGUGAUACGUAGGGUCCGAGCGUUGUCCGGAAUUAUUGGGCGUAAAGGGCUUGUAGGCGGUUUGUUGCGUCGGAAGUGAAACUCAGGGCUUAACCCUGAGCCUGCUUCCGAUACGGGCAAACUAGAGGGAUGCAGGGGAGAAUGGAAUUCCUGGUGGAGCGGUGGAAUGCGCAGAUAUCAGGAGGACACCGGUGGCGAAGGCGGUUCUCUGGGCAGUUUCCUGACGCUGAGAAGCGAAAGCGUGGGGAGCGAAACAGGGCUUAGGAUACCCUGGUAGUCCACGCCGUAAACGGUGGGCACUAGGUGUGGGG